rnacentral:rRNA from 1 species
GUGGGGAAUCUUGCGCAAUGGGCGAAAGCCUGACGCAGCCAUGCCGCGUGAAUGAUGAAGGUCUUAGGAUUGUAAAAUUCUUUCACCGGGGACGAUAAUGACGGUACCCGGAGAAGAAGCCCCGGCUAACUUCGUGCCAGCAGCCGCGGUAAUACGAAGGGGGCUAGCGUUGCUCGGAAUUACUGGGCGUAAAGGGCGCGUAGGCGGACAGUUUAGUCAGAGGUGAAAGCCCAGGGCUCAACCUUGGAAUUGCCUUUGAUACUGGCUGUCUUGAGUACGGGAGAGGUGAGUGGAAUUCCGAGUGUAGAGGUGAAAUUCGUAGAUAUUCGGAGGAACACCAGUGGCGAAGGCGGCUCACUGGCUCGAUACUGACGCUGAGGUGCGAAAGCGUGGGGAGCAAAUGGGAUUAGAAACCCGUGUAGUCC